AGUGAACGUUGGCGGCGUGGAUUAGGCAUGCAAGUCGAGCGAGAACCGUAGCAAUACGGGGACAGCGGCGAAAGGGACAGUAAUGUGUAGGUACCUACCUCGAGGUCUGGGAUAGCUGCGGGAAACUGCAGGUAAUACCGGAUAAUGUCUUCGGACCAAAGGUGUGAUUCCACCUUGGGAGGGGCCUGCAUCCUAUUAGCUAGUUGGGGAGGUAACGGCUCACCAAGGCGACGAUGGGUAGCGGGUGUGAGAGCACGACCCGCGUCAUUGGGACUGAGACACUGCCCAGACACCUACGGGUGGCUGCAGUCGAGGAUCUUCGGCAAUGGGCGAAAGCCUGACCGAGCGACGCCGCGUGUGGGAUGAAGGCCUUCGGGUUGUAAACCACUGUCGUAGAGGAGGAAAUGCAGGGGGGCUCUCCCUUCUGUUUGACCUAUUCUAGGAGGAAGUACGGGCUAAGUUCGUGCCAGCCGCCGCAGUAAUAC
rnacentral:rRNA from 1 species